rnacentral:rRNA from 1 species
AUGGGGGAAAGCCGGCGCCCGGCGCUCAGGCGUCAGCGCGCCCACGUUUCUCGAUCUUGCCCCGAGGCCUCGCAUCUUGCGCACUCCCGCUCCAUUAAAAGCCCAACCGCGCCGUACCCAAAGCUCCCUCGAAACCCUAGCCGCCACCUUCCACCAAGGCACCAACCCACCCGCUGCACCCAUCACACCUACGCGCCGACGGCGUACGCCAUGCAGCGCGCCGCCGUAAGGUUCGCUUCCAUGGCCACCCGCCGCUUCGCUGCGUCGGCCACCCGCCCGGGGCUCCCAACUGGCGCGGUGCCUCUUCGGCCUGCCGCGGCGGCGGUGGUCAACGGCACCUCGCGGUCAUCCCUCCAGCCAACUGUUGCUGCCGCCGCGGCGGCUAUGUGUGCCCGGCGCGGGUACGCCGGCAGGUCUCGGGAGACGAAGACGGUCAGCGAGGAGGAGGACGACGACGACGACGGCGACUUCUUCGACGAUAUGUCGUGCGACGAGGACUCCGACGACGACUCCGACGGCGACGAUUUGGAGGACGCUGAUCUGUAUGCUUCCGGAAGUGACUAG